CACUGAACUGUAAGGAAUAAUUCUCCAUUCUGAAUAAUUUCCUACUCUUAAGGUUGCCUCCAACGAUCUUCAUGUGGCUCCUUCUCCAUGACACUACCAGUAACUUGCCUCGAACUUGAAAGUCACCAGCUACUUUUUUGUUUUAAUCCUGUCAAUUGAUCGAAUUCGGCACACUGUGAGACUUUCUCUACCAAAAAAAAGAAAUUCCCUCUGGUGUAGAAUCCUUUUCAUCUGCUCUGGAAUCAACCCAAAAACACUGAGAGAAUCCAAAAGAGCUCCCUGUGUCAGAAGCAUCGGCAGUGAUGAUCUUCAGGCACAUGAAGGAUGUCUUUGUCUGCUCACCUCAAGCGUUUCCUUGGAUGCUGUUUACCUGGAGAGUAGAUGGCCGGAAGGACCUUAAGAUCACAUUAUACAACCUCUUGCAUGUCCCAGACCAUCAAGUUUCACUGAGUUAUCUCAUUACUGAAAGAGUAUAAUGAAAGAGAAGCAGUAAAACGGCUUAGUCUAAGGGCAACCUUGCUCUUGUAAAGCCUUCUCUUGUCCUUCUCAAGCUGUUGAUUACCUAGCUUGCAAAUGGACUAAUAAACCACCUCUGCUGUCUCUCUUCCCA
rnacentral:lncRNA from 1 species